rnacentral:rRNA from 1 species
GAUGAACGCUAGCUACAGGCUUAACACAUGCAAGUCGAGGGGAAACGACAUCGAAAGCUUGCUUUUGAUGGGCGUCGACCGGCGCACGGGUGAGUAACGCGUAUCCAACCUGCCCAUCACUUGGGAAUAACCUUGCGAAAGUAAGACUAAUACCCAAUGACAUCCCACGAAGACAUCUGAAUGGGAUUAAAGAUUUAUCGGUGAUGGAUGGGGAUGCGUCUGAUUAGCUUGUUGGCGGGGUAACGGCCCACCAAGGCAACGAUCAGUAGGGGUUCUGAGAGGAAGGUCCCCCACAUUGGAACUGAGACACGGUCCAAACUCCUACGGGAGGCAGCAGUGAGGAAGAUUGGGCAAUGGGCGAGAGCCUGAACCAGCCAAGUAGCGUGCAGGAUGACGGCCCUAUGGGUUGUAAACUGCUUUUAUAAGGGAAUAAAGUGGGUCUCGGGAGACUUUUUGCAUGUACCUUAUGAAUAAGGACCGGCUAAUUCCGUG